rnacentral:lncRNA from 1 species
GGCUUUGCUGAGCUGUGGUGCCGUUUUCUUCUCCCUGCUCUCCUCCCUAUUUCUCUAUUAUCAUUCUCAUUGCUGAGUGUUACUGGCACCCUGCAGCCAAAGGGGGGGAGAGCAAAGCCCAGCCCCAUGCCUGCUUCUUGACAACAGCUGAAGCAAGCGAGAUGAAGAUGCGGUGAACGCCUUCGUUAAUGAGCCUGUAGGCUGAGCUGCCUCGAGCUCAGCCCAGCACUGAAAGCAAGAAUAGAGUUUCAAAAUCAGAACAAGCCCCAGCCACUGCACUCAGCAAAGAGCUGACUCAGAACCUUCUUCUUUGGAUGGAGUUGGUGUUGCGUUUUUCCUGAGGUGAAGGAUGAUUUCUCUUGGGAAGAUGAUGUUCUGGCCCAGCAGUGCCUCAAGUUGGAGAACCCUUGCCUGAGGAGUGUGAGGUGGUUGCAGAGGCCUUGCUGGGAGCCCAAAUAGCAGAUGGGGGGAAGCAGCUGGGGAGGACUGGACACCGCUGUGGAAACCUGUUGGACCAACAUCUCCUGAGCAUAGACAGAAGAAGACGAUAGCUGCCGUGUGACUACCACCCUCCUUGCCAUGGACCCGGUGGUAAAGGGUCCACUAUGUUCUGGGCAGGGACCUUGUUGGGUCUGUUGCAGCUGGUUGUCUCCAUGGG